rnacentral:ncRNA from 1 species
CUGACAUGUGUGUAAGCUAACGGAAAAGUAAACCCAUAAACGUAAGGAAACUUAUUGGUGGGAUCCUUCUGAGGGGUGCACCGCCGACCGACCUUGAUCAUCUGAGAAGGGUUUGAGUGUAAGCAUACUUUUCGGGACUCAAAAUAUGGUGAACUAUGCCUGAGCGGGGCGAAGCCAUAGGAAAAUCUAGUGAAGGUCCGCAACGGACGUGCAAAUUGUUCAUCUGACCUGGGUAUAGGGGCAAAAGACUAAUCGAACCGUCUAGUAGCUGG